GGGGAUUUAGCUCAGUGGUAGAGCGCUUGCCUAGCAAGCGCAAGGCGCAAGGCCCUGGGUUCAGUCCCCA
rfam:Rattus norvegicus chromosome 9, whole genome shotgun sequence.